UUCCGUGUCACCCGCCGAGUCGCCGGCGCUGGGCUCGGCCGCCGGCUCCCGCCUGCCUCCGUAACAGCAGAAAGCGUGCGAUUAGCAGCCAGACAGGCGGGGACUCCGGGCCCGCGGGGCCGCCGCACACGCCGCCCGCGGCCCGGGCCCGCGCCCCCCCGCCCGCCGGGUAAUCAUCCUCCUCGCCGCAGCGCUGUGUGCACUCUCAUUAGAGCAGGGAGGCUUUUCUCUGCGCACUCGCUCGGCUCCCGCUGGCAAAACAACGCCUUCCUCGGCCGGGCCCUGGGCCAGGAGCGCCGGGGAGGGCGGGACGGGGGAGGAGGGGUGAGGCAGGGCAAGCGGCGCAGGUCAUCUCGGCUGCCCGAUCUCCUCCGGGCACGGAGGAGAUGGGGAGGGUCCAUCGGCCCUCUCCACGCGGAGUGCCAAAGUCCGAACCCCGUACCAGUGCCGCCAUGACCUACUCUGGUCCCCCGCUGGAGGCUAGAGUGAGGGCCGAGGGGAGAUGAGUGUGUCUGGUUUGGAGAGCGGGGGCGGACACCGGGAUGGCUCCCAAAACAGGUUUUGCCCCAUCUAUCUUGCAAACGACCUCUUAAGGCCAGAAGCCGGAUCCCACGGUUGGCGGCCCUUCGACCCUCAGGAAGACCCCAGUUCCCCGAACUUCGGGCCUGAUUGCACAGAAAGGAUGGGGGAUGGGGGUGGCCGGGGCGCGGCUGCGCCUGGACCUGAGCUUCGGAGCCCCAUUUUCUCCGCGAUCUCUGCAUACAACAGUAGGCAGCCUCUCCCAGCACCACGCGCCCAGCUGCAGGGCCUGGGAGCAGGUGUUCCUGCCCGGCGGGAGUGGCGGCUCCGCGCCCCUCCCGUCCCAGCUGCGGGGGGAGCCGCGCUGAUGGUGGAAAUAGAGAAAGGUCUCGCUGGACCGCGAGUAGGGUCCUCCGGGUUUAAAUGGGGAUGCUCCAGGGCGAGGACGGCCACCUGAGACCAGGAGGGAUCGAAGGUGACGCGCAACUAGCCCUCGUCUGGAACAGCCCUGGGGGCCAGCGGAGGCCGCUCGGGGCGGCGCAAGGGCUUCCGGUCCCGGUGACUGCGGCGGCGGCGGCGGGGCGGCUGGGAAGUUCCCGGGGCGGCCGCGAGGAGCACCCUCCUCUGGCUGCCGCCGCAGCGCAGCUUUCGGAACGGCGCCCUAGGAACCUCUCUGCGUCUGGCAGCGCCGAUCUCGGCCGGCGCGGGGAUAGGGGCUGCGGGCUGCGGGGUGGUCCAGACCCGGCCCCGGGCAGGGCGGGGGAGGCGGGGGCCGGAGACCCCGCGGGAGCUGCGGCCCGCCUCCCAGCCCCCGCUCCUCGCCGCCGCCGCCGCUGAUAUGGCGGGCACGUGAAGCGCAGUUCGGCGCCUCGGCGCCAGCCAGGGAGCGGCCUGCCCCGCCGGCUCAGCUUACCCGCGGGCCCAGGAACGCGGAACCGAGCCCGGCCGGGCCCCGCAGAGCCCGCGCCCCCGCCCCGCUGCCAGCUCGCCGCGGCCCCGCACCCCGGUCCCCUCCCGCGCCCGGCCUUGGGGCCGCGCCAGACGGCUCGCCCGAGGGGAACUCAGGCUGACUAAUGGGACGCGUGUGGGCCUUACGUGAGGCCCGGCUGUCAGCGGAUGCCCGCUCGCUCGGCGCCUACGCCGCGGCCAGGCUUUUCGGGGAAGGACGAGAGAAGGGGUUUCCCCGCUCGGCGGUUUCGACUCCCCGGGGACUAUCCGGCCGCGGCUAGCCCCGGGCUUUAGGUCGCGCCCGGAGGGGGCCGACUCAGUGUGCGCCCGGCGCCGAGGUGCAAACCCGGGAUGAGGGGUGAAGAGGUGGGAUCUCGGGAGCUCUAAGCCGGAGGUGGGCGCAGAGGCUCAUCAACUCGGCCUGGGGUGCCUGCCUGGAUGUUCGCGAUCUGGCCAGCGGCUGGGCUGGGGGAAAUUUACAGGCCGCUCUGCAGGCCUGGAGUUCAAUACCGAAACCUCCCUCAACAAAGUCUUCCGGAAACCCCUUGGGGCCUGUAAAAAUCAGCAGAGUUUCUUAUUAUUUCUCAUUAACAACCACUUCGUGUUGACAUAGUUAUAUGACCCUCCCAAAUAUAACUACCUGUUUAGUUUCAACACACGAGCGAGACGAUGAAACACAAACACCGAUCAGGAACUCAGAGAAGGAAAACCCGGCCGCGAGCUUGGGGUUGGAGGCAGGAUAAUUCCUGAUCACGCAUCCCUGGUUUUAUUCAGCCUAAUUACACUAGUAAUCCUGCCCCCCACGAGAAAGCCUGAAACCCUGUAGUCGAGGUGCGACUUUUCCUGGGGAGUCCCGCGGAUGAGGAGGGGGUUGCUGGUGUAGAGGAGGUGGGUUUUAAAUGUCACUUCCAAAUGAAAAUGCUUUCCUUCAGCCUUUUUCUUUUUUUGAUGCAGUUUUCGAAAGGAGCAUUUUUGCGAGAUAAGAAGUGACCGAUCAGAAUCGCUGAGGGGAGGUUGUAAGCAGCCGCUUUGCCUCAGCUUAGCCUUAUCUUAUCUUUCACACUUGCAUGGCGGAAAAAAAAAUUGGCUUAUCUUUAUCCCCACCCCCUUCUCGCCUUAAUUGCUAAAAAACACUGGUGUGUUAAACGGGGAGGAAGGAGGUCUCAGGAU
ensembl:lncRNA